CUAUCUGGACUUUGUAUGUGAUACAUCCGCUCGCUUCGAUUCUGUCUCGAGCACAAUACCAGUGACUUAUCGGCACCACGUCGCUCAUCUUCGGUUCCUGGGUGCCUGUAGAGAACCAAGGACAGGAAGCAGUUCUUCGCUCACGAGCUGAACCGUCACCUUCUUGCCGAGCAGAAAAUCGGCGGCGUCGUCCCGGAAAUCCGCGAGGACGUCAACGAGAUCUAGCACGUUCUUCUUGUACACGACCAGGACGCAUUCAAGAAGGACCGGCGAUGAAACACCGCGCUGCGUCGCAACAUCCGGAGCGAUCUCUAGAGAAGCAGGUGCGGUGGCAACGCUGGAGCUCUUUUGCUUGGCAACCUUCGCUGUGACGAGGCAUCUCUGGAGCUGGCAAGUAGAAGCUAUAGUAGCCAUGGUAAGCAAGCACUACACGCUUCACUAUUGAUGAUCGACUCUGGGGAGCUUGGAGCAAGAACAAAAGAUAUAUACUCCCGACUUGGAGCCGUGGACUACUAACGCUGUACGCUACCACGAGUGUGGUCCUCAAUGACGAGACAAAACUUCCACUCA